rnacentral:rRNA from 1 species
UACGGAGGGUGCAAGCGUUAAUCGGAAUUACUGGGCGUAAAGCGCACGCAGGUGGCUGAGUCAGUCGAUUGUGAAAGCCCCGGGCUUAACCUGGGAAUUGCAUCUGAUACUGUCUGACUAGAGUAUGCUAGAGGGAAGUGGAAUUCCAGGUGUAGCGGUGAAAUGCGUAGAUAUCUGGAGGAACACCAAUGGCGAAGGCAACUUCCUGGGGCAAUACUGACACUGAUGUGCGAAAGCGUGGGGAGCAAACAGG